UAAAAAUCCGAAGGAUAAAACCGAGCCGAAGGUAAAAAUCCGAGCUGAAAUUGACUUUCACUUGGAAGUGAUCAAAAUCAAAACCCAACCCAUUUUUCAAAUAGAAUUGGGUCUGGGGGGCAUUUGUUGGGGUGUUAAAAUGGGCUCACCAUUUUAACCCAAAAGCCAAUAAAACUCACUCAAGCCCAAUAUCACUUACAAGGCCUCAAAGGCCCAACAAGGCACUAUAUAUACCCCUCAAAGGGCAAGGUAAAGAGGGACAUUCUCUAACCCUAGAGAAGCCACCCUACUCUCUCUCCCCUAAAACACCUCAUUUUAUACAUCAAUGGUACUGACUUGAGCGUCGGAGGCUCCGCCUCGGGGACCCCCCCUUGGCCCGGAGUUCAUCUUUCAGGCACCGCACGAGACCGGAACUCAAGAUACCAAGGACGCUCCUACUAUCGUUUCAACCCCGGAACAGAUGUCACCGAUGAUGCUUCUCCUUCAAUUUUCAUACAUUCUUUUUCACAAAUUAAUAAAAACAAAUUUUUACUUUGUUUUAGUUUUCUGAUUAUGAUUUUUGAACAUGUACAGUAGAGAAAAGUGAAGGGAGUGAAGAAAUCUCUCGAUAUCUAUCCGUUGCCGCUGAGAUAGCUAUGGCGGAGAAGAAACCAAAAGAAGUCGGAACUCUAAAAUUUUAAUUUAGGAAAAGUUUACUGAGUACAUUUAUUUAGUUUGUUAAAUUAGGAAUUUAAUUUUGCAUUUCGUUUACUAGGUACGAAAUGCUAGAUGUAUGGGACAUAUUCCUAUAUGAAUUUUAUAGUUACCAAUCUUGUUGUUUAAUUAAUUCUUCUAUAAAACCAAGUUUAAUUUCAUAUUGUAUCAGUUUGUUCUUCCUUCCAAACGAUUGUACUCCGUAUAUUUUUAUUCUA